AUGAUGCUAAAACCAAGGUAUGCCAUUCCCAAAUUCUCUCCUAAUCCUAUUCUAACUUCUUCUACAUUGUUUCUUUAUCGCUUCUUCAGUCAUUUGCAACGCCACUAUGGUAGAAAAAGUUCUGGGUUUCAUAAUGUAGAUGCUGCUGUUACUCGUUUCAAUUGCUUGAUUCGCGCACUUUCUCCGCCACCCACUUGUGAAUUUGACAAGGUUUUAGGAGCUAUUGUGAGGAUGGGUCAUUAUCCCACUGCAAUUUCUCUUUUUUCGCAGUUUCAACUUAGGGGAAUUUCACCUUCCAUUGCUACUUUCAGCAUCUUGAUUAACUGUUUUUUUGUCAUCAAUCUCAUAUGGGUUUUGCUUUUUCGUUAUUGGGUACCAUUAUUAAGAGUGGCUAUGAACCUAACAUGGUGA